UACGUAGGGGGCAAGCGUUGUCCGGAUUUAUUGGGCGUAAAGAGCGUGUAGGCGGCCGCACAGGUCCGUUGUGAAAACUGGAGGCUUAACCUUCAGACGUCGAUGGAAACCGUGCGGCUAGAGUCCGGAAGAGGAGAAUGGAAUUCCCGGUGUAGCGGUGAAAUGCGCAGAUAUCGGGAAGAACACCCGUGGCGAAGGCGGUUCUCUGGGACGGUACUGACGCUGAGACGCGAAAGCGUGGGGAGCGAACAGG
rnacentral:rRNA from 1 species